CAUUUGUCAUUCUGGAAGAUUAAAAGUACACUAGUACAUACAGAACUACAGCUUACUUGUACGAAAUCAAUCAAUAAUGCUCUCCUUGUUAGGGGUAUUCAGUUGAUUAUUAAAAGUCUUUGACCCCUUGUUAUUGCAAUCUUGUUGUUAUCCAGCCUAGUUUAACCUGAAAUAUAAUCACAUCACGCUAGCAAUUAACUGAUGAUGUCUGAUAUAGUAUAAGAAAUAAAUAUGGCACUAAUAUUUUGGCAUUGGACAUUAAUUUGAAUCUUAAGUGAAAUGAAAAAAUUUCCCAGUAAGGAAAUUCUUAUAUGUUAUACUAUAGUAUCUUCUCGAACUUUUUUCUGUGCUAGAGAAGAUGAGGAAGAUAUUGAAUUUUUUCUAUGCUAGAGAAGAUGAGGAAGAUAGUGAAUCAAGAAGCAUAUGCCUCAAGUAUUUGAUGAUGAGGAAGAUAGUGAAUAGAUUAUUAGAUUAUAGUUGUUGGUUCUUAUUUAUAAUUGUGACAUGUAGACAUAAAUUAUUAGAAUUGAUAUUUAUUUUGGAUUGUGACGCUCAGAUUUAAACUUGUCUUGAAAUGUUUAAAUUAUUUGACUCGUUGUUUGUUUUGGAUGUUUCAAAGUGGUUGUAUUUGUAAUUUUUAAAUUUUACUUUGAGAAAUCUAUUAGGUAUGUUGUUACUCUUUGUAACAUGAAAUGAUAUUCCGACUACAGUGGUCGGAGUAGUCAAUACUUUUCUGAAAAAAAAAAUUAUUAUUUUCCGACUACAUCUAUUGAAAAAAAUAAUAUUAGUCGGAAAUAAUUUAUCUAUUAAAUAAUUAUUUAUUAAACUUCCGACUAAAAUAGUCAAAAAAAAUUAUUUAUUAAAUAAUUAUUAAUUAAUAUUACGACUACAUUAAUUGGAAAACUAAUAAUUAUUAAGUAAUUAUUUUUAAUUAUUUUAUUGAAAUUUCGACUACACUAGUCAGAAUAUUAUUUUUGUUGAAUCAUUCUAUAAUUUAAUUUUUACGACUGUCGUAAUCCGAAAUUUCCAACAACAGUAGUCAAAAAUAUUUUUCCAACAAACUUUUUUUCAACUAUCAUUAAAAAGUCGAAAUAUAGUCGAAAAUGCCUUAUUUUUCGAUUAUAUUUCGACUACAUGAGCUGUCGGAAAAUUGCUAUUUUCUAGUAGUGAUUUUACUAUUAACAAAAAUGAAAUUUUUUUAGAUAAACAUAAAUAUGACUCAAAUGUUAUGGAAUGGAAGAGAGAAGAAGAAAACUCGAAGAGAGAUAGAAUGAUAACUCUUUUUAUUGAUCCUUGCAUUAAUUCAAUUAGAAGAUUGCAUCCCAUUUAUAAGAAACUAAAGAGAAUAAAAUAAGAAAAAUAUGAUAUUUUCUACUAAAUUAAAUAUUUUACAAUGAUUGUAAACCCUAAGCUUGAAAGAAGAUAAAUUCAAUUAGAAGAUUGCAUCCCAUUUAUAAGAAACUAAAGAGAAUAAAAUAAGAAAAAUAUGAUAUUUUCUACUAAAUUAAAUAUUUUGCAGUGAUUGUAAACCCUAAGCUUGAAAGAAGAUAAAUAAUAUUAGACUAAAGAGAAAAAGUAAAAUAUUUUACCAUUAUUGAAGAUCAUAGAAUAGAAAUAAAGUAAAUUUUAGCAUUUCCCCUCAAACUCAAAUUGUUGGUGUAUUCAACUUGAGUUUGAAUAAUUAUUCUUGAAAAAAACACACUUUUUUAAAAAAAUUUAUGUUGCAGCAAUCUAAAAAAGUUGAUCUUCCUCAUAUUCUUCUUCCACUAGUAGUGCUUGUAAGUUAUCUUAAGUGUCUUUGAACUUGCAUACUUUUGUAAUAUGACCUUUUUAUUUGCAACUUCUACAUAAUGCAUCAGAUCUCUACCAACAAAAUUUUUCAAUGUAUAUUUUUUUGCAAUAUAAUAAUCACCUUUUCUUUUUUGGUGGUUUACAUAAAAAAUAGCUUCAACAAUUUUUUCUUGUUGGCAAGCUCGUCUUUGCUCUUGUACUUGAAAAGCACUUAUCCUAUAAAAGAAAUGAUAGAGAGAUCUUUAGACUUUUUCAAAGCAGAUAUUUUAGACUCAAAUCUCUCAGGAAUAGCCAUCAGAAUUUUUUCAACUAUUCUAGUGUCUUUAAAAUCCUCGCCAAACAACCUAGUUCUAUUGACAAUCGAGAAAUUCUGUCAGAAUAUUUAGUGAUUGUCUCACCUUCUUGCAUCCUAGGAGAUUCAAAAUCUCUUUUCAAAUUUGAAAUUUGAUUGUCUGUCUCGUUCACUUUCUUGGUACCCCUUUUCAAGCUUUUUUCAAAUUUUUUUUGUUAUUUCACAUGCAAUGAUUUUAGAGAAGAUUUAAUCAGCAACUGAAUUUUGAAUUACAAUUUUUGUUUUAUACUUUUUAAAUUUCUCUUUUGAGUGAAAUUUGAUUUCGAUAAUAAAAGAAUUUUUAGGGAGUUAUUGCAUUUGUAUAGGUUUAUCUUCCUUUACAACUUCCUACAAAUCAUAAGCUUUACGAUAAGAUUUUUUCUGAACUAUCCAAAUUUGAUAGUUUUCACUAGUGAAGAUUUGUGGGGCAUUGAAAGAAAAAGCAUUGCUUGUCAUGGUUUGAAAAAUGAAGUUUAAAAUAAUAUGGGUUAAAAAUUAGUAAAAAAAUAAUCCUGCACUAAAAAUAAAAGUAAGGGUUAAAAAUGGUCCUAUUUUAAAAAUAAAAGUAAGAGUUACAAGUAGGUUGAAAAUAGUUAUGGGUUAAAAAAGGUAAUUGGAAAUUUUCCUUCAAUAAAUUUAUAGACCCAUGAAGAUUGAUGAAGGCAUGGAUCCUGCUGUUAUGAAACGAAAAAGAGAAGAAGGAAAAUUAAAUAGAAGUUGAGGGUGUGUUUGGUAUGAAGAAAAACAUUUUUUAGAAAAUGUUUUCCAAUUUUCUCAUGUUUGGUUGGCUUAAAGGUUUUGAAAAAUGUUUUUCAAAUUAACUUAUUUUCCUCCAUUCAAAGGAAAAUGACUUUCUUCAAAAAACAUUUUCCAAAACUCUCUUUCAGCCUCACUCUUAAGUUGAAAUAUUCAUACAACUUUCAAAAUCACCCAUCCCUACUCCGACCCUCAAUCUCCCACCCCGACCCCCUACCAACCUCCUCCCUCCCCCUCCCCCCCACCCCCCCUUCCUCAAAAUAAAUAAAUUUUUUGAAAUUAAUGUUUAAAUAUUUUCCUUAUCCCACCCUCACUCCCCUACCCCGACCCCCACCUCUUAAUACUUACCACUCAAAAAAAAUAUUUCAAAUUUUUUUCUACCCCACUGUUUCUCCCUUACCCCCACCCCCUACUAGCCCUCCAACCUCCCAAAAAAUUAAUUUGUUUUUUAAAAAAUCAAAAUUAUUUUCUUACCCCACCCUUAUUACCUAUUUUGACAACCCCAACCCCCACCUACCAACCUCCUCUCCAAAAAAAUUAAUGUUUUUAAUUUUUUUUUUAAUUUAAAUUUUUUUUCUUAUUCCACCCUUUUUAUCCUAUUCGUUCUCAUUGUUUUUGUUAAAUAUAUACAAAUACUUUUAGAAAAUAUAUACUUAUCCAAUUUACAUAACGAACACACGAAUAUAAGUAAGAAAUACCUUAUUUUUCUAGAAAAUAUUUUUCCUCCUUCAUAUCGAACACACCCUAAAAAAGUAUUUUUUGAGAUCAAAAAUUAUUUUUCUAAAAUGUAUUUUUACGUUUUAGCUAAACACUAAAAUGUAUUUUUUGAAAAAUAUUUUUUGUUCACCAACCAAAUACUAUAAAACAUUUUUCAGAAAAUAUUUUUCAUCCACCAACCAAACAUAGGAAAACAAGUAAGAAAUUAACUUGUUUUUCAGGAAAACAUUUUCCAUGAAAAACAUUUUAUGUCAUACCAAACACACACUGAAUGAUAACUCUUUGUAUUGAUUCUUUCAUUGAUUCAAAUACAAGUGUACAUUUCUAUUUAUAAGCAACUAAAUAGAAUAAAAUAAGAAGAACAUGUUAUUUUCUACUAGACUGUAAAUAUUCGACAAUUAAUGUAAACUCUAUAUUUGAAAGAAAAUAAAUAAUAUAAAAUAUUCUUAAACUAAAAAAAAAGUAAAAACAUUCUAUCAUUAUUAAAGAUCAUAGAAUAGAAAAAGGUAAAUUUCAACAUCAAAUACUUUCUUGAUAAAUUUGAAACACUUCUCUUUCUUUCUUUUUCGUUUUACUUUUUUCAGCUACUAUAUAAACCUAAACAUAUACACUCUAAGUAAAAUAUAAAUUUAUGAUGAAAUAUUUUGAUGAAAAAGUUUAGCAUAAUUUGUAAUGAAUUUGUGACGAGUUUAUGAUAUAUUGUUGGUUUGAUGCACUAAUACCAAAUUUAAUACUGUGAAUGAAUUUAUAACGGAUAUGAUGAUCCCACAAGUCGGUUACAAUUUUGUCGAAAAUGACGUCUGUAACCAGUUUAUUACAAAAACAAGCAUCUGUCACAAUUUUGUCAGACAUUUUGAUCCAUCACAAAUGAAGUUUUCACUAUAUAUAAUAUAUUUUUUGAAAAGAUAAAAUAAAAUUACGAUGGACAAUCCAUCUCAAAAUUGUGACUGGCCAAUGAUUUUGUUGGAGUCCCAUAUCGGUUGGUUAAAGGGUUCUUGGUCUCCUUAUAUGGUCUUGGGCAAUUCUCCAUUCAUAAGCUAGCUUUUGAGGUUGAGUUAAGUCCAAGGUCCAUUUCUUUAUCAUGAUAUUAGAGUCAGGCCCACCCAGUUCAUUGUUUUCGAUGUUGGGUCCCCCGUCUUAUAUUGUCCACAUUCCAGAUGUCCAGCCCUGGGCGUGCGGGUGGGUGUUGGAGUCCCACAUUGGUAGGUUAAAGGGUCCUUGAUCUCCUUAUAUGGUCUUGGGCAAUCCUCCCCUCAUGAACUAGCUUUUGUGGUUGAGUUAAGCCCAAGGUUCAUUUCUUUAUCAAAUUUUGUUUCAAAUUGUGACGGAAAUGUGGAUUCUAUACGCAGAUUAUUUCAAUAAGACAAGUAUUCGUGUUGCAUGCCUGAUACGGGAAUUCCUAGCUCGAGACCUUUCACACGAAGCGAAGCACGUAAAUUGAGACGACUCCAAGUCUUGUUCAUAUUCUUGGCCAUGUGUGAGGCCCUUGUGAGACCAUCUAAGGGCCUAUAUUUAACAAAAUGUGAAGAGGCCCACCACCAAGACACUCCAAACCCACCCACUUAAAUGCCAAGGGUAUUUUGGCCUUUGUCCCUCCAUUCUAAGUGACUAUAUGAGCUAUGUAAUAGGGCUAGUCUCGCUUUAGUUCAUUCCUAUUAUUCAAGAAACAAAAGACUUGUAAAUUUUUUACUUCUCUUUCUCAUUUGGAGAGGCCAAAAUCGAAUUCUCACUAGUAGAGUUAUACUAGUGUUGUAUCUUGGCUAGAAACUAGGUUCUUUGGGUUCUUUGAGUUCCUUUUGGUCCAAGUAAGAACUUGGUAUUGAUAUUUAUUAGUCUUAGGGUCCUUUCUCUUGUUAGGGUUCUUAGAUUAAUGAAUAUUAUGUGCAAGUUUCUAUCUCUUUCUUUGUAAAUCUUGUUAAUAUUGUGUUGUUGAAUAUAAAAUUCUAGUGAAGCCGUGUGGGGCAAAUUCGAUUCACUAGCAAUAUUGUCUUUGUUGUUCUUGUUGUUAAAAGUAUUGCAAGCCUAGUGAAGUCGUGUGUGGCCAUUUUCGAUUCAUUAGCACUUUGUUGUUCAUGUUAUUUUUCUUGUGUUGGUUGGAAUCUCUUGAUACACACUUAGUAUUGUAUCAUUUGGUAUCAAAUCCAUCUUUGGUAUUGUUCUUACAAUACCAAUCUUGGGCUUUCUUGCUAAGAAAAUUAAAAAAAAAAAAAACUGAAAACUGAAAAAAAAAAAUCAGAAAAGUGCAAAUCUAUCCAUUUUGGGUGCUUGGCCGAAAAUUGUGUUGUUGUUAUCUUGGCCAAGAUGUGUUUGUUGUGUGUCUAGAACUUGUAGUCUUUUGUUUGUUUAGAGUAUUUCUAGUGUUGGUUUCUUUCUCAUCAUCACUAAAAAGUGUCCAAAUCUAAGAUUGAACUUGAACUUGUUAAAGUUGUAGAUGUGAACAAUGUNNNNNNNNNNNNNNNNNNNNNNNNNNNNNNNNNNNNNNNNNNNNNNNNNNNNNNNNNNNNNNNNNNNNNNNNNNNNNNNNNNNNNNNNNNNNNNNNNNNNNNNNNNNNNNNNNNNNNNNNNNNNNNNNNNNNNNNNNNNNNNNNNNNNNNNNNNNNNNNNNNNNNNNNNNNNNNNNNNNNNNNNNNNNNNNNNNNNNNNNNNNNNNNNNNNNNNNNNNNNNNNNNNNNNNNNNNNNNNNNNNNNNNNNNNNNNNNNNNNNNNNNNNNNNNUUGUAGUAGUUGUUAGUGAAAGACUUGUCCCUAUCACUUCAAAGACUUUUCAUCUACUUUUCCUUGAUUUAAGGAUCUUGUUUCAAGGAGAAAGUUCAAAGAAGUAAAGUUUUGCUUUUGAAAUUUGAACAAAAAGGCUCCAAGACCACUUUCCCUCUAUUAACCAAAUCCACCAAUUCCAAACUGUAUAUUGAUCAAGACUUGAAAUUGGGAAAUAAAAUUUUGAUAAAACUCGAGGCUAGUAGUGGACUGUCACAUCACUAAAGUACUGUUCACGCAAUAUUUUUGAGUUCAAAUUUUAGAUUUCUUAGUUUCAUUUUAUUGUUUCCUAGUUUCGUUUGUUUGCUCGACACUAAUUGACAACCUAGUAAUACCCUACUAACUUCUAAGUUAGUUUUGUGUACGUUCUUCGUGUUAACGUUAUUUGUUUGUGUGCUUUUGUCGUUUGAAUACGUUGUAACUCUUGGCUCUAGUUCGACGAGAAUUCUUUGAGUUUUAAGCAAGAAUUCAUUUCGGGCAAGAGCAUACUUAUACCUUACGAAUUCCCGGGUUCCUAGCCAAUCUACAACACUUGUGGAACUUGAAUGUGAGUGAACCAAGAGAGUGUGAGUAAGGAGAGGGAUUUUAAACUAACUUGUUUGUUUCUUGGGUAGGUGAUACCUUAAUAAUGGAGGAAACCACAUCUCAAACCGUGGAUUCUAAUGAAAUGGAGAAUAUGAGGGUCACUCUUGAGGCUAUGACCCGAGCUCUUGAAAGGUUGAGUACGGAAAUGAGAGCCAUAAAAGGAGAAGUGACGACUAUUAGUGGGAGUUUAGAACAAGUGGAGAGUCAAAGGAACUCUCGUCCUUCUACUCCUCGACAUGUUUCGUCAAGUGGACAUGAUAGAAAUUCCUCCACCACCGUUACUCCUGAAACAUGGCCACAAUUGUCAAAUCCUUCACUAGCUCCACUAAAUGCCGCAAGCCAAACCACUUAUAACCCUCUAAACCGAGACUCCAAUAGACCAACCCAUUCCCAAACGCCUCAAGUUCUGCAAGAGGUACUCGAACGUCAAAUGCUUCCAUAAAAUCUGAACCCCCUUCCAAGCUCCACUAAACCAAAGACCACCGCCUCCACAAAAUCCAAUUCCUCCAAAUCAAGUUUCAAAUGUCCAAAACCGUCCCGUCCACCUUGAGGAAUAUGGUAUAGAGGAUUAUAAAGGGUAUGGAGCCUUUGACGAUGCCUACAUGAGGGAGGAAGAGAUGAGAGGGGGCCGUGUGGAUCCAAGGAGAUACCGAGGGUAUGGAGAAAGGGGAAAUCGACCGCUAGAGAGAGACGUAGGCAUCAAUACCAUCAAAUUGAGCCUACCUAUAUUUAAGGGUAAAAGUGACCCCGAGGUGUAUCUUGCUUGGGAGUCGGCGUAUGAUAAAGUGUUUUAAGUGCAUGAUAUCUCGGAGGAGAAGAAGAGUUGUUAUGCCAUAGCUCAUUUUGGAGGCUAUGCUAACACUUGGUGGGAAUACGUCAAGAGGUUCGGCAACGAGUUGGUAGAGGGACAACUACCACCACGGUUUCGGUUGAGGUACCUAAUGAGUCAACGGUAUCUUCCCGAAAGUUAUCGUCAUGAGUUGCUUGCUAGGUUGUACAAUUUGCGAUAAGGGAAUCGAAGUGUUAUGGCAUACUAUGACGAGUUUCAACAACUCAUGUUGAAGCUUGAGUAUCGGGGAGAACAAAUUGUCCAUGACAUUAUUCGGUUCAAGUGUGGGUUGAACAAAGAGGUCUCCACCCAUUUGACGCUUCACAAGUUUGAUACCGUUGAAGAGAUUUUCCAAGUGGCUCUUGAUAUUGAAAGAGAGCUUAAAGAGAGGUCGUCGUUCAAGGUAAAGGAACCAUCAACCUCGAGUUGGCUGAUGAGCAAAGAUAUGGUUCAACUAUCUUUGGGUUAGCCCAAAAACAAGGACCAACCCACCACUACAAGGUUGCCCGAGACUAAAAUAGUCACAAAUUUCCUCCCCGGCAAGAAGCUCACAAGUAUCUUAAUCCUAAAGGGUUUCAAUGUUUCAAGUGCCAAGGUUGGGGACAUAAAGCCAAUGAAUAUCCAAACCGGCGUAAUAUGAUCCUAAGGGAAGGGAGAUUGUAUUACCUUGGUGAGGAAGUGGGUCUUAAAAAAAAAGAGAAUGAGGCCGAGCCUCAAGAUGGAGAGGAACCCAAAAAUGAUCCACGUGAUGAUGAUAAUGAUUGUGAGGAUGCUUAUCCGCAAUAAAGAAAGUGCGUGGUUCCAAACUUUGUAGUGAGGCGUGCCAUGAUUAGUAAGGUAAUAGAUGAUCCUAGCCAAUAUGAGAAUCUAUUCCAUACUAAAUGUCUUGUGAAGAGAAGUGUGUGCACUAUCGUGAUAGAUAGUGGAAGUUGUGCGAAUGUGGUUAGUGUUGCAAUGGUGAACUUCUUGAAAUUGCCGACUACACCUCACACUAGUCCUUACAAGUUGUAAUGGUUGAAUGAAUGUGGCGAGUUAAAGGUCACAAGGCAAUGUGUGAUACGUUUUAAGGUAGCCAACUACCAUGACGAGGUGCUUUGUGACGUAAUACCAAUGCAAAAUUAUCACUUGUUAUUAGGAAGGCCUUGGCAAUACGAUAGGUUGACCAAACAUGAUAGAAGGUCCAAUCGGUAUACACUUGAUAAGGAUGGCUGCAAGGUCGCUCUUCAUCCAUUAUUGUCUUCCCAAGUUAAUGAAUUACACUAAAAGAUGCGAAAAUUGAGGGAUAAGGGAAAGAAGACCGAGAGUAAGGGGAAAAGAGGGGAACCCGAGAGUGAGGGAGUAGGGGAAACCGAGGGGAUCCUAAUUUCUAAGGGGCAAGGAAGUGUGGUGAUGAUGGCUAGGAGAAAAGAAUUAUUUAUGGAUCAUGACGAGGACACUCCGAUGCUCCUCUUGGCUCAUUGUUUUAAUACUAACGUCACUAAUAUUUCCAUUUCUCAUCCUAUUUAUCAUGUUUUGCAGGAUUACGAGGAUGUCUUCUCAAAGGAAUUACCGCAAGGAUUGCCCUCACUUCGGUGAAUUGAACACCAAAUAGAUUUUGUACCGGGUUCAUAAUUGCCCAACAAACCGGCUUAUAGGAGCAACCCGAUGGAUACCAAGGAAUUGCAACGCCAAGUUGAGGAACUCCUCAAGAAAGGGUAUAUCAAGGAGAAUAUGAGCCCUUGUGCAGUCUCGGUGCUACUAGUUCCCAAGAAAGAUGGGACUUGGCGUAUGUGCGUUGAUUGCCAAGCCACCAACAAGAUAACGGUAAAAUAUCGUCACCUUAUUCCUAGGUUAGAUGAUAUGCUUGAUGAAUUGAGUGGUUCAUGUUUGUUUUCUAAAAUUUAUUUGAGGAGUGGCUAUCACCAAAUUUAUAUGCAACCGGGUGAUGAAUGGAAAACUGCCCAAGACCAAAUUCGGUCUCUAUGAAUGGAUCGUUAUGCCAUUCGGCCUAACAAACGCUCCAAGUACUUUCAUGAGGCUAAUGAAUCAUGUGAUGAAGCCAUUUAUCGAAAAGUUCAUUGUUAUUUACUUUGAUGCUGUGUUGGUGUAUAGUAAGUCCUUAGAUGAGCAUGUAAAACAUUUACAAUGUGUGUUUGAUGUCCUCCGAAAGGAGAAGUUAUAUGCUAAUCUAGAAAAAUGUUCUUUUGGUGUCCAUGAGGUUGUAUUUCUUGGAUUUGUGGUGAGCUCCAGAGGGGUCGAAGUGGAUGAAUCUAAGAUUGACGCCAUUAAAAAUUGGCCAACUCCCAAAACCGUAGGAGAAGUGAGAAGAUUCCACGGGUUGGCUAGUUUUUAUAGACGUUUUGUCAAAGUAUUUAGCACCAUUGCCGCCCCCUUAACCGGAGUGAUUAAAAAAGAUCGGCCUUUCAAGUGGGGAGAUGAACAAGCUAAGGCCUUCGAGGACUUGAAAGCUAUGCUCAUCUCGGCCCCUUUGCUACAAUUGUCGAAUUUUGACAAGACUUUUGAGGUCGAAUAUGAUGCUAGCAAAGUCGGCAUAAGCGCGGUUUUUAACUAAGAAUUAAAGCUUACUGCCUAUUUUAGCAAAAAGCUCAAAGAAGCAACUCUAAACUACUCUAGGUACGAUUUAGAGUUGUAUGCCUUGAUUAGAGCCUUGGCCACUUGGCAAGAUUAAUUGUGGCCUAAAGAAUUCGUGAUCCGAACGGAUCAUGAAUCCUUGAAGCAUCUACGAUAACAGGACAAACUUAACUGGCGACAUGCCAAAUGGAUUGAAUUUCUUGAAACUUUCCCUUAAGUUAUUCAAUACAAGAAGGGUAAAGACAAUGUGGUUGCCGAUGCUUUAUCCCGAAAACAUGUGCUUGUGUCUACUUUGUCUUCUAAGUUGAUGGGGUUUGAAAGCCUCAAGUCUUUAUAUCCCGAAGACCCUCACUUCGCUCUUAUCUAUAGGGAAAGUGAAGAGUUGGAUAGGGAUAGGUGGGUUACGAAUAGGGGUUCCCAUCCCUAUACCAAAUUUGAUGGAUACUUGUUUAAAGGUAGACGAUUGUAUGUUCCCUCAAGUUUGUGGAGAGAAUUAUUUAUGAGGGAAGCACACAAUGGCGGUCUAAUGGGUCAUUUUGGGGUCGAGAAGACCCUCGGAAUUUGGAAGAAUAAUUUUAUUGGCCUAGAAUACACAAGGAUGUGGCUCGGAUUUGCAGCCAAUGUAUUGAGUGCAAAGGAGCCAAGUCACGGCUCCAACCCCACGGGUUGUACACCCCAUUGUCCACCCCUUUGCUUCCUUAGCUUGACAUAUCAAUGGACUUCGUGUUGGGAUUGCCGAGGACUAGAAGGGGGCGGGAUAGUAUUUUUGUCGUGGUAGAUCGGUUUUCCAAGAUGGCUCACUUUAUUCCUUGUUCUAAAUGUGAUGAUGCGUCUAGUGUAGCCUCUUUGUUUGUUGAUAAUGUUGUAAAACUUCAUGGUGUUCCGAGGACCAUAGUGAGUGAUAGGGAUUCUAAAUUCCUAAGCCACUUUUGGAAGUCCAUGUGGGGUAGACUCGGUACUAAGUUGUUGUUUUCGACUUCAUGCCACCCACAAAUCGAUGGCCAAAUGAAAAUAGUAAAUAGGACCUUAGGGUCUAUGCUACGGUCCAUAGUUAAAAGAAAAAUGACUUCUUGGUAGGAGCACUUACCGUUGAUUGAGUUUGUUUAUAAUCGUGUUAUACACUCGAGCAUGGGGAUGACACCCUUUGAGUGUGUAUACGGCAUCAACCCCCUCACCCCUUUGGAUUUAAUCCCUUUGCCAAGUGAUCUUGUGAUAAGCUUAGAUGGUAGCAAACGGGUCGAGGCCAUGAUAAAGCUACAUGAGAAGGUGAGGUUAUGGUUGGAGAAGAAAAACUAAGAAGUUGCGAGGCGAGCCAACAAAGGAAGAAGAAAGCUCAUUCUUGAACCGGGAGAUUGGGUGUGAGUGUACCUAAGGGAGGAUAGAUUCCUGUCUCAAAAGAAUGCUAAGUUGCUUCCACGGGGUGAUGGCCCGUUCCAAGCAUUAGAAGGGAUCAACGACAAUGCCUACAAGAUUGAUCUACCCCCGGAAUAUCAAGUGCACAACACUUUCAACAUGUGUGGUCUCUCUCGGGUGGAAAUGAUGGAGGAUGGCAAUGAUCCGAAUUUGAGGACAAAUUCCCUUCAAGAUAGAGAGGAUGAUACGGGAAUUCCUAGAUCGAUACCUUUCACACGAAGCCAAGCACGUGAGUUGCAACAACUCCAAGCCUUGUUCAUAUUCUUGGCCAUGUGUGAGGCCCUUGUGAGCCCAUCUAAGGGCCUAUAUUUCAUAAAAUGUGAAGAGGCCCAUCAAGACACCCCAAACCUACCCACUUAAAUGCCAAGGGUAUUUUGGCCUUUGUCCCUUCUUUCUAAGUGACUAUAUAAGCCAUGUAAUAGGGCUAGUCUUGCUUUAGUUCAUUCCUAUUAUUCAAGAAACAAAAGACUUGUAAAUUUUUACUUUUCUUUCUCAUUUGGAGAGGCCAAAACUGAAUUCUCACUAGUAGAGUUAUACUAGUGUUGUAUCUUGGCUAGAAACUAGGUUUUUGGGGUUCUUUGAGUUCCCCUUGGUCCAAGUAAGAAUUUGGUAUUGAUAUUUAUUAGUCUUAGGGCCCUUUCUCUUGUUAGGGUUCUUAGAUUAAUGAAUAUUGUGUGUCAAGUUUCUAUCUCUUUCUUUGUAAAUCUUGUUAACAUUGUGUUGUUGAAUAUAAAAGUCUAGUGAAGUCGUGUGGGGCUCUUUCGAUUCACUAGCAAUAUUGUCUUUGUUGUUCUUGUUGUUAAACUCACUUUUCUAGCUCAAACAAGUGUUGCAAGCCUAGUGAAGCCGUGUGUGGCCAUUUUCGAUUCACUAGCACUUUGUUGUUCAUGUUGUUGUUCUUGUGUUGGUUGGAAUCUCUUGAUACACACUUAAUAUUGUAUCAAUGCCUUCCUUGUGGGUUCAAAUCGUGAAAAUAAUUUUUUGCAUAAAUACAACUGUAAUUAAACCUUUGUGCCCUUUCCCCAAUCCUUUGCAUAGCGGGAGUUAUAAUACAUCUACCCCUUUUUAAAUUCUAAUCAAAAUUAUUUAAUUUUGUGAGCGAGAAUUCCUUCACAGCAGUAACAAAAUUGUGACUAUUGUUGCUCUCAUAUGGCCAAGUUCAAUUCUCAACUUUUUACCUACAUGGAAUCUAUAUCUAUAAUCUAUAAUCUAUAUCUAUAAUCUAUAUCUAUAUCUAUCUAUGAUCUAUAAUCUAUAUUUAUAAUAUAUUAAAAGUGUGAAGAUCCUUAGAAAAGUGAUUUGAACUUUUUGCCCUUCAUUAAGACGUUCCGCAAUAGACAAAAUCGUCUUUUUACUAUUUUCUAAUAGUUUUUAAAACUAAAAAAUUCAUUAGAAUUUAAUUAUUAAACUUUUCCUUAUUUGAAUUAUAUACCUAAAGUUUAGGGUUCUUUUUGAAUUAGUAUUUGUAUAAAAAAAAUCAAUCGUUUAGUAGACAAUUUAAGUCUUUCCUGAAAUAAUGUAUACUUUUUGAAGAACAAUUUUAUUUAUAUUUUAACUACCUAGAUAUGUCAUUAAAUCCUUCAAGUCAAGUUUAAUUGAUAUUUUUUUCCUUCACGUACCUAUUCACUUUAGGUAAAAUUUUGUUCACAGUUAAUUUUAUUUGUAAUUUUAUUAGGUUUAGUUAUUUAAUCUAGCUAAAAAAAUCAUGAUAUAUUUCGUAUUUUUACAUCAAUUACAAUUUCACUUUUAUAAAAAAAAAAAAAAAAAAAAAAUUCUAUUUGAAUAAUUUUUUGGAUCAAAAGUUAUGAAAGCAUACCACCACUUAAUACUUUUUAUUCUCAGCUUGGUAUUAAUUCAAGUUGGCUUUUUUUUUUCAUUCAUUAUUAUCACCAAAAUGUUGUUUGAAUUUUUUAUCCUUUAUUAACAAAUUUGUCUUUUGCUCCAAUUAGAAUACCAAAAAAUAAUUUUAAAACCUAAAUGAUUGUUCGCUUUGUUCGUGGCUUUUUAAUUUUACUUUUUUCCUCCAAUUAUUAUACCAAAAAAUAAACUAAAUGAUUGUGGGCUUUGUACGUGACUUUUAAGUUUAUGAAAAACAAUUAACUUUUCUUUCAUUAGGUUUAGGAUUCUUUUGUGUUUUUCUUUGUUUAGGAGUUUUCCUUCUACUGCUGCUUCUUGGCUUGAUAUUCAAUUUGGUUAAGAGCUUUAUUCGAUCAAUUAUUCUUUGAUGCACUGAUUCUUCUUCUUGAUUUUUUCUUUAAUGCAGACCCUGAGUAGUAUUAAAAAAGGGAGGAGCAUGAAAGAAUGAGGGUUUGCUAUAGUUUUUUCAUAUUUUCUUCCUUCCAUUCUGUAUUAAUGUUAUAUACAUAUUGAUUAACUAUGACAUUAUCUUGCCAAACUUCUCAAGACUAUUUUGCAUAUGUGAGAUCACAAUUUUAUAUCUUUCAUAUUUAUAAAGUAAUAAUAUUUGCCUUUAGUGUUGUGUCAAGAGCUCUUUCUUUCUACUUGCACUAUUUUGUUGAUCUACUUUUUGUACCAGAAAUUGACUUGUUUACUCGAUUAUUUAUAGUUUCGCCUCUUUUAAAAUGGGUAUAUAAUACCAAAGUUAUCACUACAGUUUAUGGUCCUAGGGAGGUAAUUCCGCAUCUCAAUGAAUCUGUUGGUUCGGCCUUUUUCGAAUUAUGAAUCAAAUUUUUGUUUUUUUUUUGGCAUUAUGGUCAAGGUGAAGUGGUGGUUUUGAACUGAAAAAUAAAAGAGGAAAGUUGAUCAUGUAGCAAUUUGUGUGACAUUGUCUUCCACGGUGAAGGGAGAGUGGCAUCGUAAUUCAAAAUAUACGAACUCCUCUAUCAGUCGUGCCAUGUGAAAUUGCCUUCCUAAAUAAUUCAUCAUAUAAUUUUAUUGUUCUUAUCAAGUGAAAUUUUUCUUUGAUCCAGUAAAGUAAUUAAUUGAUCGGCAACUGAUGCCUAACAGAACAAAAGUGAAUUUUGAUUGGCUUUAGUGCAUUUUAUUGAAAAGGUAAAUAGUUUUAUUAAUUAUACGAACAUCUCCGGUAUACAAGAAGCAGUAUACCAAAAAUUAGAAAUUACCUCCUUCACUAUGCCUAACAUCACCGGUUGCAAUUCAAACCAUCUCAAAAUCUCAAAUUAUAAGAGAGUUUUCACUGGACAAUGUGCAUGCUUGCAGAUGAAGCAUCAGCUGCCAUAUGUAAUAUUGAAAAUAUUGAGAUAGCUGUGAAGAGAUUAUAAGGAGGCUCAGGGCAUGAUGUAUAAGAAUUUACUAACAAGAACGUAUUGAUUGCGAAGCUCCAGCCCAGAAAUUUUGUGAAACUACCGGUAUAUUACUUUGCAGGAGAGGAAAAGAUACUCGUCUAUGAACUUGUCCCCGACAAAAGUCUUGGCUAUUUCUUAUUUAGUUGGUUUCAAUAUGCUAUAAUUAUUUCAUUGCUACAAUUAUCGAUAUGGAAACGACCUACCUCUUGCAUAAAUGCGAGCGGUAAGGCUGCAUAAAAUAGACACAAUGUGGUUUGCUUCAGUGGUGGAGCCAUCUAAUGCAAAGGGAUAUCAAAUGAGAUCAGUGGUGGAGCCACCUCACGCGAAGGAAUGUCUCCAGAAAAUUACACUGUUUAGCUAUACAUUACAACAAUUCCCAUAUGGAAAAGUGCCAAAAAUAUUACUCUAUGAGAUAGAAGAGAACACCAGUGUAGUAUUUAAUCAUACAAGACUAACUUCUUCCGAAAUAACAUAAUGUUGUGAGGAAAAAAGAAUCAAGUCAAAUUCAUUAUGUUUACUUUUCUUUUCUUGUUUUCAGAGAGACGAGUUACAUACUUGAUCACUACUACAUACAGAAUAAUACAAUGAUUUUUAAAAUAACAUAGAAGAAUAUUGAAAACUACCUGUAUUUGAUCAUUUCAGGAAAAAUUAGAACAUCUCCAUCCGAUAGCCCAAUGUCUUCUUCACGUACUUCGCAAAUCGUCAAAACAGUCUACCACAAACAAUCACCCAGCAACAAACACGUUAACCUCAAUAUCACACUUGAAAAGCUAACAUAGUAAAACUACAGACAGCAUUCUAAUUGAUCAUCGAAGUGGAAUUCUCAUAUUGUGUGCUAAUAAUUCAUCCAAUAUGCAUUUAAAAAGCUAAUAAAGUAAACCUACUAAUUGUGCACUCAAAUCAAUCAGCUAACAAUUCUUAUACUGUGUUAUACUUUGAACAUUUCGUGUCCCUAGAAGUUACAAACAAAUGCUCAACAACGUUAUGAGUUAAGAGUCAAAAGACACGUAAAGUAUCCCCGUUUUUGAGUUUCAUACCGAACUAUCAAGUGUGUGAGUUUCAUACUUGAACUAUCACCAAAUGUUUAUUGAAACACACCUCAACUAUUCAAUAAACAUUUGGUGAUAGUUCAAGUAGGAAACUCAAAAAACCCGAAUACUUUAGGUGUACUUUUGACUCUUCACUCAUAAUGUUCUAUACAAUACCGAAAUUUAGUAUCGAUAUGCUAAUUUCUGAAAAAUCCAAUAGAGGUGAAGUUCAUCAAAUGUCUAUUGAAACAGGCCACAACUAUUCGAUAAACAUUUGGUGAUAGUUGAGGUGUGUUUCGAUAUUUAGUAAUAAUUUAAGUAGAAAACUCACACUUAAUAGUUUAGGCAUGCCGAGAUAAUUUAGGCGUAUUUUUAACUCUCCACUCGAAUGCUAUCAAAAAUGCCAAAAUUUAUAGCCGAUUUUGCUAACAUCUGAACCAGAAACUCAGUCCAACAGAAACGAAGUUCAUCACUAACGUCGUUGACUCAAGUGGCCACACUUAACUAUAUUCAAAACACAAGUCCACAAAACAUUUUCAAGUCACUUAUUCACUUCUCAAGUGACCACACUUAACUAAAUUCAUUCACUUCUCAAGUGACCACACUUUACUAAAAUAAAACACAAGUUCACAUUUCAAGUACUUAAAUUCAAAACAAAAUUCACUAAUUCAUAAUUCAAGUAACUACACUUAAACACUUCAAGUCACUAAUUCACUUCCCAAGUUACCAAACUAAACUAAAUUCAAAAUGAAAAGUUUACAUUUUGAGUGUCUACACUUAUUCACUUCUCAAGUGACCACACUUAACUAAAUUCAAAACACAAAUCCACAUUUCAAGUACCUACACUUAAACAUUUUCAAGUCACUAACUCAAUUAUCAAGUGACCACACUUAACUAAAUUCAAAACACAAGUCCACAUUUCAAGUACCUACACUUAAGCAUUUUCGACUCACUAACUAACUUCUCUAGUAACCACACUUAACUAUAUUCAAAACACAAGUCCACCUUUCAAGUAACUACACUUAAACAUUUUCGACUCACUAACUCACUUCUCUGGUGAUCACACUUAACUAUAUUCAAAACACAAGUCCACCUUUCAAGUAACUACACUUAAACAUUUUCGACUCACCAAUUCACUUCUCAAAUGACCACACUUAACUAAAUUCAAAACACAAGUNNNNNNNNNNNNNNNNNNNNNNNNNNNNNNNNNNNNNNNNNNCUUCUCAAGUGACCACACUUAACUAAAUUCAAAACACAAGUGACCACACUUUAGUAAAUUCUACACAUUCAUGACAAACACAUUGUCUUACACAAAGAAACAAAAGCAAUAAAUCCUAUGAAAACAACCCUUAAUUACGGUAAUUGAUUAUGCGCCAAAGGAACUAGCACAAAGGAAACAACCUCCAUUCAUAAAACUGCUAAUUGUAUGCAGACACUAACACAAAGGAAAACUUAGGGCAACUAGUUUUUCAACUAGGUUUCUCAAAAUGAAUAAUCUCUAUAUACAACAAAAAGGAAAAAGCAGGAUACCAUACUGAAAAAAGUGAAUUAGUUAAAGUUAAUACCAUAUCAAGAUUGACAUAAAGCAUUAAUGACUUUUACUAUUUUGUCAUUUGACUACAUAAUCCACAUUAAGCAAACUAAGAAAGAUAAUUAAUGCUACAUUAUAAUAGAAAACCUAGAAAGGAAAACAAGGAACCUUACUAACUCUGCAGCAAUAGAUCUGUAAAAGAAUUUUAAAACCACAAAGUAUUUUCUUGAAAAGCUCAUUUUGCACAAUUCAAUAAUGCAAGCCUCUUAGUUUUACAAGAACUCAGAUCCAACAUACUUACUUGAAUAAAAUUUAGCAAUGAUGGCCACACACAAACAAAUUUGAGAACAUAAGAAAAACAGUCACCUUUCCCCUAAACUGGUGAAGCAAGAAAUACCUCAACUGGCAUCGGCGGUGUUGGCAUGGUUGAUGUUGGGAGGCGGCGCGGGUGCUCUUCCGGCUGAAAUUGCGGCUGGCUCGGAGGCAUCGGGUUUUCUCCGGCUAGGGAAGAGAAGAGGGAGCCGGGAAGAGGGGACGGGGCGGCAUCGGGUUUCUCAGCGGCGGCGGCAGCCAUUGAUGGUUAAAGAGAGGUAGAGAGAGAGAGGGAUGCAAAGAGGGAGGUGACACAAAAGUAGAAUUAAUAAGGGUGAAAGUUCAAAUUUCAUUUAAGUUAUGAUUAAGUUAAU
rnacentral:lncRNA from 1 species